UACAGAGGGUGCGAGCGUUAAUCGGAAUUACUGGGCGUAAAGCGUGCGCAGGCGGUUCGUUGUGUCGGCGGUGAAAGCCCCGGGCUUAACCUGGGAAUGGCCGUUGAAACUGGCGAACUGGAGUGUGGCAGAGGGGGGUGGAAUUCCGCGUGUAGCAGUGAAAUGCGUAGAGAUGCGGAGGAACACCGAUGGCGAAGGCAGCCCCCUGGGCUGACACUGACGCUCAGGCACGAAAGCUGGGGGAGCGAACAGG
rnacentral:rRNA from 1 species